AACGCACAUUGCGCCCGCCAGUAUUCUGGCGGGCAUGCCUGUCCGAGCGUCAUUUCAACCGUCAAGCCCCGGGCUUGUGUUGGGGACCUGCGUCCGACCGCAGGCCCCGAAAACCAGUGGCGGGCUCGCUGUCCACACCGAGCGUAGUAGACAACCUCGCUGCGGAGUGGCGCGGGCGCCUGCCGUAAAACCCCCCCACCUACCCAAAGGUUGACCUCGGAUCAGGUAGGAGUACCCGCUGAACUUAA
rnacentral:misc_RNA from 1 species